AGCAGCCGCGGUAAUUCCAGCUCCAAUAGCGUAUAUUAAAGUUGUUGCAGUUAAAAAGCUCGUAGUUGAAUUUCGGGGUUAGUAGGUUGGUCAUGCCUCUGGUAUGUACUGGUCUCACUGAUUCCUCCUUCCUGAUGAACCUUAAUGCCAUUAAUUUGGUGUUUUGGGGAAUUUGGACCGUUACUUUGAAAAAAUUAGAGUGUUUAAAGCAAGCUAACGCUUGAAUACAUUAGCAUGGAAUAAUGAAAUAGGACGUUCGAUCCUAUUUUGUUGGUUUCUAGGAUUGACGUAAUGAUUAAUAGGGAUAGUUGGGGGCAUUAGUAUUCAAUUGUCAGAGGUGAAAUUCUUGGAUUUAUUGAAGACUAACUACUGCGAAAGCAUUUGCCAAGGAUGUUUUCAUUAAUCAAGAACGAAAGUUAGGGGAUCGAAGACGAUCAGAUACCGUCGUAGUCUUAACCAUAAACUAUGCCGACUAGGGAUCGGAUGAUGUUAAUUUUUAAUGACUCAUU
rnacentral:rRNA from 1 species